UACGAACCGUACGAACGUUAUUCGGAAUUACUGGGCUUAAAGGGUGCGUAGGCGGCGCAGUAAGUUGGGUGUGAAAUCCCUCGGCUUAACCGAGGAAUUGCGCCCAAAACUACUGUGCUCGAGGGAGAUAGAGGUGAGCGGAACUUAGGGUGGAGCGGUGAAAUGCGUUGAUAUCCUAAGGAACACCGGUGGCGAAAGCGGCUCACUGGAUCUCUUCUGACGCUGAGGCACGAAAGCUAGGGUAGCAAACGGG
rnacentral:rRNA from 1 species